rnacentral:rRNA from 1 species
AGUCAUACGCUUGUCUCAAAGAUUAAGCCAUGCACGUCUAAGUUUAAGCAAUUUAAACAGUGAAACUGCGAAUGGCUCAUUAUAUCAGUUAUAGCCUAUUUGAUAGUACCUUACUAGUUGGAUAUCCGUAGUAAUUCUAGAGUUAAUACAUGCUUGAAGAUGUGUUUUUUAAAUACAUUGCAUUUAUUAGAUUGAAACUAAUUUUAAAGUUGAGUCAUAAUAACUGUGCGGAUCGUUUUGUAAAAAGCGAUGAAUCAAUUGGGUUUCUGCCCUAUCAGUUUUGGAUGGCUGUGUAUUGGACAGCCAUGACAUUAACGGGUAACGGGGAAUUGGGGUUUGAUACCGGAGAGGGCGCCUUAGAAAUGGCGACCACAUCCAAGGAAGGCAGCAGGCGCGUAAAUUACCCAAUCCUAAUUCUAGGGAGGUAGUGACUAGAAAUAACGAUUCGAGAUGCUUUGCAUUUUGAAAUUGGAAUGAGAACAAUUUAAAUCCCUUAUCGAGGAUCAAU